rnacentral:lncRNA from 1 species
UCAACCACUCGAACAUCUUCCGUGCAAAAGAAAUACUCGCUCUCUUUAAAAAUAAAUGUUGUUUGUCGUUAAUUUAUAACUAAAUAUCUUACAAAUUUUAUACUAAAUGAGCGACAUUUAUUUUAGAACGGAAGGAGUAUUUUUUUUUUUGAAUUUACUGUAGCCAGGAGCUGAUAAGCCCGGUGCAGAGAUGCAUUUUCAUAGGAUGAGACCGAAUCAAUGGCUCCAGAUUGAUAGGAAAACUUUUUCGAAGCAGUUGCCUGAGCAAACCCAAUUUUACCGGUCACCUCGGGUGACUCGGGAUGCAGAGCUUUCGCCUUUACACGACAGCAAUAUUAUCUGGGACUGUAUGGAAACCACCUGCUGCCACUCCUGAUCCGUUCACCUGAGUGGAAGAAAUGGAACCCCACUUUCUCCUACAGCUGAAAACCACACUGCUCCCCACACCAUGGACGGACGUGACGACACACACAGGCAGCGCCUUGGCUUACAACAAAAACGACGUACGAUAUUUCUAUCUAUCUAUAUAUUGUUAUAUAUAAAAGAAAAAAGCACGAGCACUGCGACAGCGGCGGCGCACGACACAACAUUAGCAGAGAAAGAAAAAGACGCCGCAUCCAUCACCCACCGCGAUCCCUUCCCUUCUUAUCGUUGGGAACAGUAAAACCGCUUGGCCUGCAAACCAACUUAUGAUUGGAUGGUUGGAGGGACAGUGGUAUUUUCAGUUCAUUAGAGUUC